AGAGUUUGAUCCUGGCUCAGAGCGAACGCUGGCGGCGGGCUUAAGACAUGCAAGUCGCGCGAGAAAGUACCUUCGGGUAUCAGUAAAGCGGCGGACGGGUGAGUAACACGUGAGUAACCUACCUCUCGGUGUGGGGACAACGUCUCGAAAGGGGCGCUAAUACCGCGUACGACCUCGAUGACCACGGUUGUUGAGGGGAAAGGCGGCCUCUCCAUGGAAGCUGUCGCCGAGAGACGGGCUCGCGUCCCAUUAGCUUGUUGGUGAGGUAACGGCCCACCAAGGCUAAGAUGGGUAGCUGGUCUGAGAGGAUGAUCAGCCACACUGGAACUGAGACACGGUCCAGACUCCUACGGGAGGCAGCAGUCGGGAAUCUUGGACAAUGGGGGCAACCCUGAUCCAGCCACGCCGCGUGGGUGAUGGAGGCCUUCGGGUCGUAAAGCCCUGUCAGAGGGGAAGAAACGGUCUUAGGUGAAUAACCUCGGAUCGGGNNGG
rnacentral:rRNA from 1 species